AGCUUUUUAGUUUAUUUUAAAAUGUGCGCUUGUGGUGCGUUAGAAUUUAGAGGCUU
rnacentral:tRNA from 1 species